AGAGUUUGAUCAUGGCUCAGGAUGAACGCUAGCUACAGGCUUAACACAUGCAAGUCGAGGGNCAGCAUGGUCUUAGCUUGCUAAGGCCGAUGGCGACCGGCGCACGGGUGAGUAACACGUAUCCAACCUGCCGUCUACUCUUGGACAGCCUUCUGAAAGGAAGAUUAAUACAAGAUGGCAUCAUGAGUCCGCAUGUUCACAUGAUUAAAGGUAUUCCGGUAGACGAUGGGGAUGCGUUCCAUUAGAUAGUAGGCGGGGUAACGGCCCACCUAGUCUUCGAUGGAUAGGGGUUCUGAGAGGAAGGUCCCCCACAUUGGANCUGAGACACGGUCCAAACUCCUACGGGAGGCAGCAG
rnacentral:rRNA from 1 species